CGGUUUAAUCAGUCUUCCGGGAAAUCUGACAGCUCAACUGUUAGGCUUCCGGGGGAUACUGUUAGACUUGGGACCGGGAGAGGUAAGAGGUACUACAGGGGUAGGAGUGAAAUCUUGUAAUCCCUGUGGGACCACCAGUGGCGAAGGCGUCUUACCAGAACGGGUCCGACGGUGAGGGACGAAAGCUGGGGGCACGAACCGGAUUAGAUACCCGGGUAGUCCCAGCCGUAAACGAUGCUCGCUAGGUGUCUGGAAUGGUGCGACCGUUUCAGGUGCCGCAGGGAAGCCGUGAAGCGAGCCACCUGGGAA
rnacentral:rRNA from 1 species